GACGAACGCUGGCGGCGUGCUUAACACAUGCAAGUCGAACGGAAAGGCCCUGCUUUUGUGGGGUGCUCGAGUGGCGAACGGGUGAGUAACACGUGAGUAACCUGCCCUUGACUUUGGGAUAACUUCAGGAAACUGGGGCUAAUACCGGAUAGGAGCUCCUGCUGCAUGGUGGGGGUUGGAAAGUUUCGGCGGUUGGGGACGGACUCGCGGCUUAUCAGCUUGUUGGUGGGGUAGUGGCUUACCAAGGCUUUGACGGGUAGCCGGCCUGAGAGGGCGACCGGCCACAUUGGGACUGAGAUACGGCCCAGACUCCUACGGGAGGCAGCAGUGGGGAAUAUUGCACAAUGGGCGGAAGCCUGAUGCAGCAACGCCGCGUGCGGGAUGACGGCCUUCGGGUUGUAAACCGCUUUCGCCUGUGACGAAGCGUGAGUGACGAUAAUGGGUAAAGAAGCACCGGCUAACUACGUGCCAGCAGCCGCGGUGAUACGUAGGGUGCGAGCGUUGUCCGGAUUUAUUGGGCGUAAAGGGCUCGUAGGUGGUUGAUCGCGUCGGAAGUGUAAUCUUGGGGCUUAACCCUGAGCGUGCUUUCGAUACGGGUUGACUUGAGGAAGGUAGGGGAGAAUGGAAUUCCUGGUGGAGCGGUGGAAUGCGCAGAUAUCAGGAGGAACACCAGUGGCGAAGGCGGUUCUCUGGGCCUUUCCUGACGCUGAGGAGCGAAAGCGUGGGGAGCGAACAGGCUUAGAUACCCUGGUAGUCCACGCUGUAAACGGUGGGUACUAGGUGUGGGGUCCAUUCCACGGGUUCCGUGCCGUAGCUAACGCUUUAAGUACCCCGCCUGGGGAGUACGGCCGCAAGGCUAAAACUCAAAGGAAUUGACGGGGCCCCGCACAAGCGGCGGAGCAUGCGGAUUAAUUCGAUGCAACGCGUAGAACCUUACCUGGGUUUGACAUGGAUCGGGAGUGCUCAGAGAUGGGUGUGCCUCUUUUGGGGUCGGUUCACAGGUGGUGCAUGGCUGUCGUCAGCUCGUGUCGUGAGAUGUUGGGUUAAGUCCCGCAACGAGCGCAACCCUUGUUCACUGUUGCCAGCACGUUAUGGUGGGGACUCAGUGGAGACCGCCGGGGUCAACUCGGAGGAAGGUGGGGAUGACGUCAAGUCAUCAUGCCCCUUAUGUCCAGGGCUUCACGCAUGCUACAAUGGCUGGUACAGAGAGUGGCGAGCCUGUGAGGGUGAGCGAAUCUCGGAAAGCCGGUCUCAGUUCGGAUUGGGGUCUGCAACUCGACCUCAUGAAGUCGGAGUCGCUAGUAAUCGCAGAUCAGCAACGCUGCGGUGAAUACGUUCCCGGGGCU
rnacentral:rRNA from 1 species